GGCUUAUCUCCCCCAAGAGUUCACAUCGACGGGGAGGUUUGGCACCUCGAUGUCGGCUCAUCGCAUCCUGGGGCUGUAGUCGGUCCCAAGGGUUGGGCUGUUCGCCCAUUAAAGCGGUACGCGAGCUGGGUUCAGAACGUCGUGAGACAGUUCGGUCCCUAUCCGUCGUGGGCGUAGGAAAUUUGAGAGGAGCUGUCCUUAGUACGAGAGGACCGGGAUGGACAUACCUCUGGUGUACCAGUUGUCGUGCCAACGGCAUAGCUGGGUAGCUAUGUGUGGACGGGAUAAGUGCUGAAAGCAUCUAAGCAUGAAGCCCCCCUCAAGAUGAGAUUUCCCAACUUCGGUUAUAAGAUCCCUCAAAGAUGAUGAGGUUAAUAGGUUCGAGGUGGAAGCAUGGUGACAUGUGGAGCUGACGAAUACUAAUCGAUCGAAGACUUAAUCAAAA
rnacentral:rRNA from 1 species